GACGAACCGUGCGAACGUUGUUCGGAAUCACUGGGCUUAAAGGGCGCGUAGGCGGGCAAGCAAGUCGAAGGUGAAAUCCCACGGCUCAACCGUGGAAGUGCCCCCGAUACUGCUUGUCUUGAGGGAGAUAGGGGCGUGCGGAACUUCCGGUGGAGCGGUGAAAUGCGUAGAUAUCGGAAGGAACACCGGUGGCGAAAGCGGCGCGCUGGAUCUCUUCUGACGCUGAGGCGCGAAAGCCAGGGGAGCAAACGGG
rnacentral:rRNA from 1 species